rnacentral:tRNA from 1 species
GGAUUGUGGCUCAGUGGUAGAGCACUCACCUAGCAUGUGCGAGGCCCUGGGUUCCAUCCUCAGCACCA